GUGCCAGCAGCCGCGGUAAUACGGAGGGUCCGAGCGUUAUCCGGAAUCAUUGGGUUUAAAGGGUCCGCAGGCGGUCAAUUAAGUCAGAGGUGAAAUCCCAUAGCUUAACUAUGGAACUGCCUUUGAUACUGGUUGACUUGAGUUAUAUGGAAGUAGAUAGAAUGUGUAGUGUAGCGGUGAAAUGCAUAGAUAUUACACAGAAUACCGAUUGCGAAGGCAGUCUACUACGUAUAUACUGACGCUCAUGGACGAAAGCGUGGGGAGCGAACAGGAUUAGAUACCCUGGUAGUCCACGCCGUAAACGAUGGACACUAGUUGUUGGGAUUUAUCUCAGUGACUAAGCGAAAGUGAUAAGUGUCCCACCUGGGGAGUACGAUCGCAAGAUUGAAACUCAAAGGAAUUGACGGGGGCCCGCACAAGCGGUGGAGCAUGUGGUUUAAUUCGAUGAUACGCGAGGAACCUUACCAGGGCUUAAAUGUAGUCUGACAGCUUUAGAGAUAGAGUUUUCUUCGGACAGAUUACAAGGUGCUGCAUGGUUGUCGUCAGCUCGUGCCGUGAGGUGUCAGGUUAAGUCCUAUAACGAGCGCAACCCUUGUCGUUAGUUGCCAGCAUGUAAAGAUGGGGACUCUAACGAGACUGCCGGUGCAAACCGAGAGGAAGGUGGGGAUGACGUCAAAUCAUCACGGCCCUUACGUCCUGGGCCACACACG
rnacentral:rRNA from 1 species